rnacentral:rRNA from 1 species
CCCUUAGAUGUCCUGGGCCGCACGCGCGCUACACUGACAUGUUCAACAAGUUUCUCCUAGUUCGACAGGACUGGGAAAUCUUUGAACGCAUGUCGUGAUAGGGAUAGAUCAUUGCAAUUAUUGAUCUUGAACGAGGAAUUCCCAGUAAACGCGAGUCAUCAGCUCGCAUUGAUUACGUCCCUGCCCUUUGUACACACCGCCCGUCGCACCUACCGAUUGAAUGUUUCGGUGAAGAUUCCGGAUAGGACUGAUUUGAUUUAUUUCAUUUCUGACCUAAAAGCUAUCUAAACCUCAACAUUUAGAGGAAGGUGAAGUCGUAACA